rnacentral:RNase_P_RNA from 1 species
CCAGCUGGCUGGACGGCCGCUGCCGGUUUUCGUUGUGGCGAAACGCGCUCUAAAGGCUCGCGAGCUGACAUCCGGCAGAGGAAAGUCCGGGCUCCAUGAGGAAUACGGUGGCGGCUAACGGCCGCCGGGGGCGACCCUAGGGAAAGUGCCACAGAAAACAUACCGCCAAGCCGGACUGCCUUCGGGCACAAUCCGGCGGUAAGGGUGAAAAGGUGCGGUAAGAGCGCACCGCGCUGCUGGUAACAGCAGUGGCAGGGCAAACCCCACCGGGAGCAAGAUCAAAUAGGGGUGGGCGCGCGGAGCGGGAAACCGCAGACGCAAGGCGCGUCCUCACGCUACCCACCCGGGUUGAUUGCACGAGGCGUCUGGCAACAGGCGUCCCAGAUGAAUGGUCGUCGAGGAGGAUCCUUGGCCAACACUCGGCAAGCCGGUGUUGGGCUAGCCUCCAGACAGAACCCGGCUUACAGGCCAGCUGGUACU